UUUGCAAAGGUCCAGUGUGUUACAUGUAUAUAUGUAUGUUUUGGUGAAGGGGUUCGAAAAGGGUUCGAAUUGUCGUGAAUUGGCGACCAUUUCUGAUGAAACAAAAUCGUAGGUUUGAUGGUCUGGCAGUGCCGGAAGUGCCGGCGUGAUCCGUUCGUAAAUCCGGCGAAUUGAUCGUUCGGAAUAGCGCGUUUAUCAAGGAUGGGAGACGAUUUUGCGAAAAGGGUAUUUCUGUAAAAUACCCAAUAUUUUAUGUACCGUUUCGCGAGGGAUCGCUUGUCGAGGGGUGUUGGCGCGUUUUACGCGAAUGCUGAAGGACUCGGAUUAUUUGGUCAAGGUUUUUAGGGGUUUUUCGCAAUUGUUCGAUUACUUUUAAGAUGGCAUCUAGGUUUUCUU
rnacentral:lncRNA from 1 species